rnacentral:misc_RNA from 1 species
GUAUGGCCCAGUCUAUCGUCGGGCGCUCCACACUCGUGUUAUCGAUGUCACUUGUGUAUCGCGUACAUAUCUCCUAGUGAAGUAACAGAUGAAUGGAUAUAAUAGUACUAGUACUACUGAGUGUGUGUGGUCAGGUAGUGUCUGUGACACUGCGACAGUGUCCGGACUCGUCUGUGUGGAGCGUUGACUUGCACGACUGUGUGCCUUGUAAGGAACUAUGUGGACGUGGGAGUAAAAAAAGAUACAGCCAGUUCACCUCAGAAGUCCCAACAAUUCCGUCGACAUGGAAACGGCAGACAUAAACGCGAUGAUUAUGAUUGUGGCGACUUCAACUACUACGACCCCGCCAUACACGGAUGUACGCCGUGUGACCACCUGUGUGACUACCACGAACACCAAGGAACUACAAAGCGUUGCAUGGAGAAAUGUCCAGAUUACUAUGUAAAGGAUGGGACCUACGGCCAGUUCACAAGAAGAGAGGUCUACAAAGGAUACGAGUCCUGAUGAUUCCAAAGGAGACGCUACCUUGACUGUAGUAUUGAUUAUAUUUGCGAUAGUGUUUGUCCUGUGUACUGGCGUUAUGGUUUGGAAACGGAAUCAGAUUUGGCAGUUCCUGGAGAGACAGUGUACAACCGAUGAGGAGAAAACCUCGGUGCCAUGCUGCCAGGAACAGGGAAUCUGCGAGUCUGCCAAUUCCAAAGUGACCCCUUUGACCCACUCCCUAGGACCAAUAUGCCAGCCAGUUACAGAAACUCGCCACGAGAACAAAGCAGACCAGUACCUAUACACAGAGACGUUUGCUGAGAUUGACCUACGGUAUGCUGUAUUGGAUGAACCGUUCUCACAGACCACAACACCAUCCCUAAACAAACCUGUUCCACGGAUCACCCCAGUCAGACUGCCUCCAUCUAUCACCCAACCAUCCCUAAACAAACCUGUUGCACGGAUCACCUCAGUCAGACCCUCUCCAACUAUCAACCACCCCAACGCAAACCGUAUCUGCUGAUGGCACCAACCUGACAACCUACCCCAGUCACUCCACAAUCCCCAAAGUUGUUGAUACUGAUAGUGAUGAUACACACUCGUGAGGAGGAAAGUGACGAAGGCACCUGUUAACA